rfam:Penicillium steckii strain IBT 24891 PENSTE_contig015, whole genome shotgun sequence.
GCCCGCGUAGCUCAGUUGGUAGAGCGCGGCACUAGUAAUGCCGAGGUCUUCAGUUCAAAUCUGGACGUGAGCA